GAGUGUUACAGCUGCAUAUCAUCCUCAGACGAAUGGGCUGGAUGAGAGGACAAAUAGCAACAUAAAACGGCAAGUUUUUUUUUUUUUUGGGUGUUCUAAAAUGUAUAUCUAAUUGUACCCUUCUACUUCGUACAGCUCUUACAAAAUUGGUGAACGACCGAAAGGAUUUGUUUGGUGGUUUGGCCUAUUCAGUAGAUAAUUUUGACCGGAUGGUCAUCUGGUCAAGUGCCGUAAAUAAUUACUUUUUUUUAUUUAACAAUGUUGUGUUUUCAGUUAAAUUACUGUGGGCUGCAGAGGACCAAGGCAAGGUGGAGGCUAUCGUUGGACCGUAUAAAUUAUAUGACACGUCUUUUCAUACGCUAAAAGGCAACGGCUGGCUGUCUGAUGAAGAGCCGAUUCACCAACUCUCUGCUGUGGUAGCUGGGAGUCUGCUUUUGGGAAAAUUUCAGCCUGUUAGAAAGAGGAAAUUCCCUGUUGAAAAAAAGUGGAUUUGUCCUGUCCUGUCCUGUAUGCGCUCAUUGGAUGUUAGUGAUUGUCCACAUUUCUGAGAGAACACUGGUGAUCAUCGAUCCCUUGAGUAACGAAGACAAAUAUGAGCAAAAUCUUGCGGAAUUGGAGGAACUUCUUGAGGUUGGCGGGCCGUGAGUUCCAAAUAGAAACUUGGACUACCAAAACUGUGGCCCAUAACAAGCAGCAGAACAACAGUAGCUGUGGGGUUUUCACAUUAAAGGUAAUGAUUUUAAGAUUUCGGAGUCUCUGCAAUAAAACUUUGCUGCUGUUGUUGUUUAGCACUGAUAUGUAACA